UACGUAGGGGUCGAGCGUUGUUCGGAAUCAUUGGGCGUAAAGCGCGCGUAGGCGGCCCGGAAAGUCGGAUGUGAAAUCCCGGGGCUCAACCCCGGGCCUGCAUUCGAUACUCCCGGGCUGGAGGCAGGUAGGGGAGAUCGGAAUUCCCGGUGUAGCGGUGAAAUGCGCAGAUAUCGGGAGGAACACCAAUUGCGAAGGCAGCUCGCUGGGACGUCACUGACGCUGAGACGCGAAAGCGUGGGGAGCAAACAGG
rnacentral:rRNA from 1 species